CGGUAAUUCCAGCUCCAAUAGCGUAUACUAAAGUUGUUGCAGUUAAAAAGCUCGUAGUUGGAUUUCUGCGGGGACGGAGCGGCCGGACGCAACUUGCGUCUCGAGCUAGCGCUUUCCCCGCAUCCUGCCGCGAACCGUGCUACCAUUAGCUUGGUGGCGCUGGGGAUCGGCUCGAUUACUUUGAGAAAAAUAGAGUGUUCAAAGCAGGCCACACGCCUUGAAUAAGUUAGCAUGGAAUAAUGACUAAGGACUUCGGUUCUAUUUUGUUGGUGUUCGGGACUGAAGUAAUGAUUGAUAGGGACAGUUGGGGCGGUCUGUAUUCCAAAGCGAGAGGUGAAAUUCUUAGACCUUCGGAAGACAAACAGCUGCGAAAGCGUUCCGCAAGGAUGUUCCCUUUGAUCAAGAACGAAAGUUGGGGGAUCGAAGACGAUCAGAUACCGUCGUAGUCUCAACUAUAAACUAUACCAGCUAGGGAUCGGUCAACGUUUAAUCAUUCGACUUGAUCGGCACCUUAUGAGAAAUCAAAGCAUCUGGGUUCCGGGGGGAGUAUGGUCGCAAGGCUGAAACUUAAAGGAAUUGACGGAAGGGCACCACCAGCCGUGGAGCCUGUGGCUUAAUUUGACUCAACACGGGAAAACUUACCAGGUCCAGACAUAGUAAGGAUUGACAGAUUGAUAGCUCUUUCUUGAUUCUGUGGGUGGUGGUGCAUGGCCGUUCUUAGUUGGUGGAGUGAUUUGUCUGGUUAAUUCCGUUAACGAACGAGACCCCAGCCUGCUAAAUAGCGCGGCUGAGCUUUGCUCGGUGCGAGCUUCUUAGAGGGACUAUGAUGCGCGAUAGCACAUGGAAGUUUGGGGCAAUAACAGGUCUGUGAUGCCCUUAGAUGUUCUGGGCCGCACACGGGCUACACUGGCGCCUGCAACGAGCAUAUCAGCUGGCCCGAGAGGGUCUUGGCUAAUCUUUUGAACCGGCGCCGUGCUUGGGAUUGACCAUUGCAAUUGUUGGUCAUGCAACGAGGAAUGCCUUGUAAACGCGAGUCAUCAGCUCGCAUUGAAUACGUCCCUGCCCUUUGUACACACCGCCCGUCGCUCCUACCGAUGAAUGUUCCGAUGAAAUUUUCGGAGAGCGCCAGAGAACGGGGCUCCGCCUUGCAGAUCUGGAGGCUCAAAGUCACUUAAAUCUGAACAUUUCGAGGAAGGAGAAGUCGUAACAAGGUAGCCG
rnacentral:rRNA from 1 species